rnacentral:rRNA from 1 species
AACUGGGAUUAGAUACCCCACUAUGCCCAGCCGUAAACUUUUAUUUACAUUGUAUCGCCUGGGAACUACGAGCCAAGCUUAAAACCCAAAGGACUUGACGGUACCCCAUAUCCACCUAGAGGAGCCUGUCCUAUAAUCGAUAACCCCCGCUUAACCUCACCAUUUCUAGCAUAACAGCCUAUAUACCUCCGUCGUCAGCCCACCCCGUGAGUGAUUCUCAGUGAGCUCAAUGUCCCUGAGUCAAAACGUCAGGUCAAGGUGCAGUAAAUGAAAUGGGAAGAGAUGGGCUACACUCUCUAAUAUAGAAUAAACGAAAGACUAUAUAUGAAACUUAGUCGGAAGGUGGAUUUAGAAGUAAAAAGAAAUCAUAAUGCUCUUUUUAACACGGCACUGGGGUGUGUACACACCGCCCGUCACCCUCUUCAAAGCCAAGAAAUAGUAUUUAACAAAAAUAAGCUAACAAGAAGAGGCAAGUCGUAACAUGGUAAGAGUACCGGAAGGUGCUCUUGGAAA